rnacentral:rRNA from 1 species
UACAGAGGUGGCAAGCGUUGUUCGGAAUUACUGGGCGUAAAGGGCGCGUAGGCGGUCUUGCAAGUCCUGUGUGAAAUCCCUCGGCUCAACUGAGGAACUGCACAGGAAACUGCUUGGCUUGAGUUCGGGAGAGGGAAGCGGAAUUCCGGGUGUAGCGGUGAAAUGCGUAGAUAUCCGGAGGAACACCGGUGGCGAAGGCGGCUUCCGGGACCGACACUGACGCUGAGGCGCGAAAGCUAGGGGAGCAAACGGG